rnacentral:rRNA from 1 species
GAUGAACGCUGGCGGCGUGCCUAAUACAUGCAAGUCGGACGGAGGAUUAGCAAUAAUUCUUAGUGGCGAACGGGUGAGUAACGCGUUGGUGACCUGCCCCGAAGAGAGGGAUAACAGUUCGAAAGGACUGCUAAUACCCCAUGAGGUCUGCCUGGUUAGAGGCGGGCAGACGAAAGGAGAAAUCCGCUUUGGGAGGGGCCUGCGUCCCAUCAGCUAGUUGGUAAGGUAAAAGCUUACCAAGGCGAAGACGGGUAGGGGACCUGAGAGGGUGACCCCCCACACUGGCACUGAAACACGGGCCAGACACCUACGGGUGGCAG